UCCAGAGUAGGUACACAGCAGAGGCAACACAAGGUUCCCCACAUUGCCCUGCAAGGGGCCUUAGACUCUCACCCAGAAUGACCAGUUCUCAAGA
rnacentral:sRNA from 1 species